rnacentral:tRNA from 1 species
GCGGCCCUUGCGCAGUUCCGGUUGCACCGUGCUUUCCAGCAGCGUGAUCAUGUCCUCGACCAUGCCGUGCAGUUCGUCGGGGCUGUGC